rnacentral:SRP_RNA from 1 species
GCCGGGUGCGGUGGCAUGUGCCUGUAAUCCAAGUCACUGGGAGGCUGAGGUUGGUGGAUCAAGUGAGCUGAGGAGCUCUGGGCUGCAGCACGCUAUGUCGAACGGGUGUCCACGCUAAGUUCGGUAUCGAUAUGGUGUUCCUGGGGGAGCCUGGGACCACCAGGUUGUCUAAGGAGGGGUGAACCCGCCCAGGUCGGAAACGAAGCAGGUCAAAUCCCCCGUGCUGACCAGAAGUGGGGGCCACGUCCAGCACCAGAGCUGCCACCGCGGACAGAUGCCCACCCAGACCCUCCCCAAUAGGUUCAGGUUUU